rnacentral:lncRNA from 1 species
AAUGAGGGGGGCAAGGGGGGUCCCAAUAACAGCAAAACAGCAAAUUGAUUUGGGUCAUAACAGAUAACAAGGAAUUAAAAUGGACAAAAACAGAUAACAGUAAAUGAAAUAUUAAAAUAAUUCGGUCUUUGACAAAUCAGUAUUUCUUAUUACGGAUAUAAUCCUUUGUAAUGCAUUCCAUUUUUUGAUGACUAUGUUUUUAGUAUUAAUUUAU